CUACUUAUGAUAUAUACCGCCACACUGCCGACCUUAGAGACCUGUUUGCGUGUUGGUUGGAGCCGUGGGACUGUAUAUGGAUUGUUGUGUCCCAGGACUCCUCACUGCUGUCUCGAGAUUAAAGAAUUAAAAAGCAGACCGGGACGUGUUCGAAGUCAAGCUUUCAGCACAUUACACCCAUGCGGUUUCUUUGUGCAGUGUUUGCAUAUAUACUUGUACUUUAUGUAAUUUUGCAGGUGUAAAAUCUGUCAAAGUUUUUGUUUUGUGUAUAUUUUGCUAAUGUGAGUGUGUGCGUUUUUAAAAACCUUUUAUUAAACCAAUAUAA